AAUUUUGCAAGAGUCAAGAUGCAAGUUACAAUGUCACUUUCCAGUCUUGUUGGCACUUCACAAGCGUUUAAUGAAGAUCACCUCCGUCGGUCACU